UACGUAGGGGGCUAGCGUUGUCCGGAAUCAUUGGGCGUAAAGAGCGUGUAGGCGGCUCGGUAAGUCCGCUGUAAAAGUCAAAGGCUCAACCUUUGAAUGUCAGUGGAUACUGCCGGGCUAGAGUCCGGAAGAGGCGAGUGGAACUCCUGGUGUAGCGGUGGAAUGCGCAGAUAUCAGGAGGAACACCGAUGGCGAAGGCAGCUCGCUGGGACGGUACUGACGCUGAGGCGCGAAAGCGUGGGGAGCAAACAGG
rnacentral:rRNA from 1 species